UUUUCUGCCCGGGGUGCCUUCCCUCCUUGAUCCUCGAGCAGUGUGCUUGAGAAACCUACUCACGCAAUGUCAUAUACACUUGAAAAAAUCUAUAAAAUUAUAAUCAUAAACGUAAAAACUGAAGAAACAAACCACCCAGAAAGGGCAAAAACACCCCCAAAAUAAAUAAAUUGAAGUGGGUGUUUUUUCCGCUCCUUUGAUCAUCUUGCGAAUUUUACUUUCCAUUUUUAUCUGAGUGUAACUGUAAGUUUCUUCUUCUCAUUUUGUUUAAUGAAUUUAAUUUUUCACUUGAUUACUCUUGCCAUUUUGGCUUCAUUUGGUUUAAUAUUUAAGUAAGAGGUGAUUUAUGUAUAUUUUUUUUGUAAAGAAAUGUGUUAGAAGGGUGCAAUUUUAGGUGUUAAAUAGGAGUAGUAAGAUUGCAUUGUUUUAAUCUUUUUGUUUGAUAAUUUUGAUAUUGUUUCAUCCAUUCCAAAGAACCCUAGAUAUGAUAAUGGGGAUUAUUCUUAAAAUUCUAUCAAAGCUUGUGAUUAUGUUAAGAAAAUUAGUGGAAAAUGUACUUCAUUCGUAUCAAAUUUCCGUUUUUCCCCUUUUCUUAUUUAUUUUAUGAUGAUUUGGAACAUCUCAAUUUGAUAAUCCCCCACCCCAUAUGAUUUAUCUUCCUCCCCUUCAAAUUUUGGGCGUUGCAAGAUAUUUUGGUGGUAAUGUGGUAUGCCGGAUGGCCGAAGCGUUAUGCGAAUUAUAAGAUGAUUAUCAUGAGAGACAUAGUAUAUAAGGUGUUUUUGGUAGAAACAUGUUGUGAACUGGUGAUAUACACCACAAGCUAUACCAGUGAGCCGGUGUUGGUGGCAUUUACGUGGAAAAUUGAUUUGUUGAACAUGAGGAUUUCUAUAUUGAGUGGUCAAUCACGGUUUGAGAGUUACUAAUCCGUACAUUGGGUGUGCUAUGGUUUGGGGAAAACGGAGAACAUAAGUUGUUAGAACUCCACCCCGCAGGUGUUGUUUCCGAUGAUAAGAAAACUAAUGGAAGUGGGUUAAUGUGAAUUAAAAAAUAUGAAAAUGAAUAUAGAUAAGGAAAAUUUGGUUUUAUUAAUCCAAGGCCAACAAGUCAUAAAAAUGUUGUAGGCGAUAAUAUGUCCCUACGUGGUAGUACUCUCUCUCUCUUCUCCCUCGAUAUAUUCAGUCAUCAUCAUCAAUUUAUCACCACCUCGUUGAAUUUUUCACCGGUUACCGGUCACUUAAACUCAAUAAAAGUCGUUAGGUAGUAAAUGUGGGAUUAUUAAAAAAAUAUGUCGUAGGUGGGCUUAAUAAAAGAAAAUCUGCCAAAGGUUGGAUUAAUAUUACCAAAUUUUCCUAUAGAUAAAAGAAAAAAAAGUGAUAAGAGAAAGUGUAAGAAUUGUACGAGAAAAGGGGGUUGAAAGGAUGGUGGGAUGAGUAAACAUGUUCAAUUGUGAUUUUGGUUAUUACUUUCGUAAAUGAGAUAAAACUCAUAAAAGGCCGACUAGCUGAGCAUUAAUUUUAUGAUUUUAUCUCUGUUUGGUUUAUUUCCCUUGUAACAUAAUUUUGGACUUGGCUUGGCCUAUGAGAUGUCGUAUAUGUUCAUAAUUUCAUAUGCAUAAUGGAGUGUUGAUUAUAUCGAACAGGCUCUUAAUUCUUAUAAUAGAAUAAGGACUAUCUCAUAUGAGAUCAUGAUGCCUUCCCCCUUAGAGAUGUAAUGUGGCCUUGAGUAACGAGGUUCCUAUUCUUGGUUACAUUUUGGGCUUUGCUGAGUUUGUUGCAUGUAUAUAGUUAAUAGAUUUAAGCUAGCUGCACUUCAAUAACGUGAAUUACAUGAACGCAAUCCUUUGAUUUUUGAAUGGAGCAUCACGUAAGCCAAAAGGUAAGCUAUCAUUUCCUGUACCUCUGCACUUCAAUUGUACACGAACCUAGGUUAAACGAAGCUAGCUGCACUUCAAUUGUAUGUAAUCCUUAAAGUUUUGAAUUGAGCAUUUAGUAAACUAAUCCAAUUACUUGAUGAUAUCUGUUUAGUCCUCACACAGUAUUUUUCUAGGAGUACUCAUUGUGAGGAUUGGUGUGUAUACUAAGCGAAGCAAGAGUUGCCACUGUACCAUAUAGUCUUGAUAGUUUGACCUUGCUAUUAUUUGAACUUACUACUGUCUCAUACUACUUAAGUGAUUUCUACGUUAUUCAAACUUUUCAUUCACCUCAAGUUCCCGUGUUGGAAACUGGACACUCUGACAUGGAUACGGAGGAUAGUUGGACAGUUGACAGUUGCCAUUUUCCACAUCUUUUUUUGGGUAAAAACACAUUUUUUUUUAAACUGAGUUCGGCACUUAAAACACGUACUGUUGUGAUGCCUGAUACGGUUUUCUGAGUCUGAGUUACAUAGAGUGAAGAGUUUAUGAUCGAUGCUGAAGGCAUUGCUAUUGGACAAGUAAAGCAAUUGUUCUGUACCAGUUAGGAAAUUGCUACGAGAUCUUCUGUUACUCCCACCUCUCUGCAAAUUCACAUUGACUCCACAUAUCACGCUGUUAGCAGCCUGCAAAACUUGUUCAAUCCUCUGAAGUGUCUGCAUUUUUGUUGCAAUUCUCGACUCUGGUACCUUAAGUCCUUCUGUGUAUAUACGGACUGCUGGCAGCUGAUUUCUUCACACACCCUAAAUAAAAGGCCAAUAUGAAAGGCUAAAUGGUGAAUCCUUUAAUGCUUGAAAUGCUGAAGUCAUUUGAUGUAUAAGAAGGGCCAAACAACAACUGUCCAAUUUCAACCCUUAGCAAGACAAAAUCCGUGGAAGUUCAAUGAUGGGAAAGGUUAAGCUGGAUAUAAUGAAAGUAGAGAAUGCAAGCAGCCGUCAAGCCACUUAUUCAAAACGGAAACAUUGGAAUCUUGAAAAAGGCAAGAGCUAUCUAUAUUGUGUGAUAUAGACCUAGCCCUUGUCAUGUUCUCACCAGGUGGCAAACCUAGUUUAUGUUGUGGAAAGCACAGGCCAAAUGGUGAAUCCUUUAAUGCUUGAAAUGCUGAAGUCAUUUGAUGUGUAAGAAGGGCCAAACAACAACUGUUCAACCCUUAUCAAGACAAAAUUCGUGGAGGUUAAAUAAUGGCAUCAAUUGUAAUUGCAACGAUUAUAUUGUCCCAUUUCAAGGAUGACACGAUUAGGACUUCCGGCAAAAUGAUGCUGAAUUUGGUCUGGCAUCAAACAUUUAAAACAUUGGUCUUUCUUCCCGCAAAUUAGGUCAGGCAAAUCCUUCAAGCGUUUCUUUAUAGAGGUAAUUUUUUUUACUAAACUUUCGUUCAUUUUGAUGGUUUACUAGUAAGAUCAAUUGCAUUUCAAGCUUUUAAAUGCAUUUGAAAUGUAAUAUUUUAUUUAAAAUUAUGCUACCAAGAGAUCUAGCGAAAAUUAACUCAUGCUUAUUAUUAGACCGUAAACCCCAAGUAUUAUUCUAUGAAGGAUAUUCUUUUUAUUUUAUUUGAAUGAAUGUGGCAUGUUGGAGGUCUAAAACAAGCCUGAGUUAAUUUUCUUUUUAUUUUGUCAAAGCUACACAUGAUUUUGUGUAAAGUGUGUUUCGGACCAAUGCAAAUAGUACUUUCUGGAGAAUUACUUACUGUACGCCUAUCUACUACUCCCUCCGUCCCGGAAUACUCGACCCGGUUUGACCGGCACAGAAUUUAAGGGACUUGAAUUGACUUAUUUAGUUUAAUAGGUAGUAGUUGAUAUGGGAUAUUAUUUUAAUGUAAUUAGUGGGAAAUGUGUAAAGGGGUGGGGUUGGGGGAGAGUAGGGGUUGAAUUUUUAAUUAUUUUUUGUAUGGAGUAGGGGGUAGGUGGGUUAAUAAGGGUGGAGUGAGAAAUAAUAUAAUAUUGUUAGAAUAUUUCCAUUUUUAGAAACAGGUCAAGUAUUAAGGGACGGCCCGAUAAGGAAAAAAGGUUAAGUAUUCCGGGACGGAGGGAGUAUUGAUUAUCUGAUUUCUCAUUAACAUUCCAGUUGUUUCAUUGCAUUAAAAAAAAAUGGGCUUGAUUAAAUCACUUAGAAUAAAAGAAAUUUGCACUAGAGUUGUUGGAAGCUCCUGUGAAAGAACUCCCUCCAAAAAUAAACGUAUGCCACUAAGUGCAGCGAGCACACGGUAUUCUUUAGUAAAAGGCGAAAGAAUAGUUCGCUUUGUGCUCACUGCGUAGCUGCGUGAGUUUAUUAAGAAGUUGCUUCAGUUAUUUAUAUUGCAGUCGUUAUUUAGAUCUUAUUUCCUAAUUGAUGUGGGACUUUUGUGCUUUUUCCUCGCAUCUUAUAUUGAAUAUUUAGCUCUAGGGAAAAGCAUUUACACAAACUAGGAAAUGUUUUGCUGAGUUGAUUAUAUUAACAGAAACUAUCAUUUGUUUGAUUCUACUAACUGUUCAGCUGAACUUUUUGGUUGUACAUUUGAGAUUUUCUGUUUAAUAGGAACGUAAAUUACUUUUGUUGGUGCUGACGUGUCACCCUUUCCACGGAGGUAUCAGGUAUGUGCUGGCAUUGUCUUCUUACAACCUGUAAAACAAGAAUAUUCCCGUAGAAAUAUUCCUUCUGAUGCCUAAGUAAGUAUUUGGUAGAGAGAGAGAACAGUUUAAAGAUAAGUUAGAGCAGAAAUGUUUAAGAUUUGUGGGAAUGAAUUGAUUGCCCCCUUUACUUGGGAUUCGAGCUAUUUAUAAGAUAAGGUCUUGGGAUUUGAUCCAAGAAACCCUAGUUACCUGAUUGGUCACUCUUGGAGAUAAAGAUAUGUGUCCUUAUCAGAUAUAGAGGGUGAGGACCUGAGUGGCCCUUUUAGUGUAUAGGCCUCUUAUUACCUUGGGCCAUUUAUUAUUUCAUUUAGUUACAAGGUCACUUAAUGAGUCCAAAAUGCAUGACACUGGGUAUGGGGAAACGCCACAUGUCGCAUUUUGAUUGCUCUAAGGUGGACUAGCCAUUUUUAGCCACAUUAACUUUAAUGGUGGAUAAAAAGAUUAAACUUCGCCACUGGAUAGCAAGAAUAGAAUCAAUCUACUUCAAUGACAGAGUUUGUCCCAUCUUUGUUGAAACAACAGAAGCCCGAAGCCGUUCUUAUAAAUUCCAUCACCCAACAAUUGAUCUUCAAUUACAGUAUUUUCGAGAACUGAAUAAUUCACAAUAUUGGUAAAAUUUGUACUUUAAUAAAGUGGAUGUGUUAUCACUUUUUGCAGCAUCACUUAUUGGACCCAAAUGAAGUAAGAACCUAUAAAGUCAACUAAUGUUCCAUGCCAAAGACAUAAUACUAGGGCAAGAACAACUAAAUGGACCCAAACAAAAUAAGAACAUAUAAACUCACACCUAUUUUAAUGUAUGUAAGAUUAAAAAAAAUUAGAAGAACAACUUGGGGAUGGUUGUUCCACGAAGAUAGUUGUUUAGCUUUAUCAUACUAGUAUGUUUAGAGGCACCAUGGAGUUCUAUAAAUUGGACUUUAUAAGCUCAUUUUAAGGUGUGUCUAUGCACAACCAAUUGUGUGAGAUACCCAAUUGCACGCGUGACUGCGUGAGUGUCCAACUUGUGUGAUGUAUUACUUUUAGUCGAGUAAUAUUCUGUGCAUGGUUCUGGUAAGGGACUUAUACCUUCAAGUUAAAAUUUGUGUGUUUCUUACUAUUGUUUCCUUUGACUCCAUACUUUCAUAUUUUGAUCCCUUGCAUCCAUCACACUUGGUUAGGUUCAUAAUACAGGAACCAUACAAAUAUGGCACAUUAGAGGAAAAACUUCUUUGCUUCGUUGGGGUUGUAGAAUAUGUGCUUUGUAAACCUAUCAAGAACAUGCUUUAGGCUACUGAUAUUAAAUUCAUUUGUGGUUAUUUUUUAUGGCAUUGUUGAGUUUGUUCAUCUGUAUAAAGUUACCUUAUUUGAGCUAGUUAUAGCAUUUAUUCUAGUACAAUAGUUGUAGAUGUUAUGCUUUUUCUUUUUCUUUUAAGAGAGCGUGCAGUUUAUUUAGUGAUCUCAGCUCUUGCCUUCCAAUUUGGUGGCCUUUCUGAGAGUAGAAGUAAUUUGCAUGAGGAUUUGUGUUCGUAAAGAAAAGAACAUACAAUUUUAGUGGUGGACUGUGGGGUCUUCAAGCGUCGCCCAUGCGUUGCACUACUGCACGGGCCUGGCAUACCUCACUAAUUCACUUUUCAAAAUUUCUCUUAUACAGCUUAAUAACACUAAUUAGUUGUAGGAUAAUAACACUAAUUAGUUGUAGGAGUGAGGGGUGUAAAUUUUAAUUGAUGGAAUUAGGGUUAACUGCUCAAUAUCUAAUUCGAACUGUAAAAUUAACCAUUUUUGUUUAUUUUCUUAUACUGCUGUUUGGGACAUAAAUAAAGAACUUGCACUUGGGUUGUUAAGUCUCCUUAAAGGGACUCCAUUCAAAUGUGCAGUUAAGUUCUCUCAGGAGGAGAAUCUCCUUGAAGAACCCUUUAAAAUGUAUGCCAUUUAAUGCGGCGAAGAGUAAAACCUACUUGAAUGUCUGGGUCUCUGUUGAAAAUAAUAAUACCAGACUCUGGAGGUUUAGAUGACAGUUUAACAAUUGAUCUCCUAUUACACUAUGAGGGUAUAGAUGACAGUUUAACAAUUGAUCUCCUAUUACACUAUGAGAGAGACAUACCCUGUGAUACCCUUCUCUUAUUCAGUUCUCAAGUCAUACAUACCCCAUGAUACCCUUCCCUUAGUCAGAUCCUUGCAGAGAGUGGUCUUCUUGGUAACUUGGUCUAAUGCCUUUAGGGUCUUAAUUAGGUUAAGUUAGGAACAUAUGCUAUUAAAAUCUUCAUGUUUGUUGCUAUUGACAAAGAUUGUCACUUGGUAGAGAGAAGGGAAAUUCAAUAUUUUUUUCCAUUUUGAUUGGUUCCAACUUCCAACUUCCAAGUACUAAUAUGCUAAGAGAAGCAUUUCAAUAUUAUGUACUUAUGGUUCAUGUUGAACUGAAAUUGGCAUGGGAUCCUACCCAGAAUUUUCUGACAUAUUAUAAUGUUUAUUACAACGGGUCUAGUGCGUCAAAUGGUGAAUCAUUCAUACUUAAAAAGUGCCAAAUAUGAUGUUAAGGAAGGCAGGACACAAGGUAAACCUUUUUUCUCAACUUCUAAUGUUGUCAUGGAAGAAAUAGAGACUUGGCGAAGUAUUUAGUGAGGUACUUUUAGGAAUAGACACACCUUUGGAAGUUACUCCCUCCGUCCCGAAAUACUUGAAACGCUUUCCUUACCGGGCCGUCCCGGAUUACUUGAAACGCUUCUAAAAAUGGAAACUUUACAUAAUACUUUAUUAUUUUCUCAACUUACCUAAGGGCCCACCAACAACCCUACUACUCCAAAUAAACAUUAGAAAAUUCAUGACCCCCCACCACUAUCUAUAUUAAAAAAAUACCCCACUACUAACUACCUUUCAAUUAAAUAAGAAGUCAAUUAUAAUGAAUUAAACUCCGUGCCGGUCAAACGGUUUCAAGUAUUCCGGGACGGAGGGAGUACUCAGCUUAUAUUGGACCUUAAAAACUGUAUAAGAAAUGAGAUGUGUUUGGCCUUGGCCCUGUGAGAUGUUUUAGUGCUGCAAUAAGUUGAGUAUUUAGUCCCACAAUGGAUAUGUAUACAAACAUAGAUUUGUUUAUUUUUCUCUUGCUUUGUAUAUGUGUUGUCUCUUCGGAGACAUCUGAUAAAAUUGGAACGAUACAGAGAAGAUUAGCAUGGCCCCUGCACAAGGAUGACACGCACAAAUCGAGAAAUGGUCCAAAUUUUUUUGGUCUUUUUUUCUUACAAGUCAUAACAUAAACUAGUAUUUUGGUGGUAUUCGAUUAGUAUAGUUUCCCCUGUCAUUUCUGCUAGGUGAUUUAUCUUCCCUCAUAUAUUUGCAAAAAACUUGGUAUUUUCAUUUCCUGUUAGUGCAUUUUCGUCCCACACAAGGAAAGAGAAGCUAGGCCGAGGGAAAAAUAUAAAGAGAGCGGUGAUACUAAGAACACAGAGCCUUCUGGUUUAGCUCAACUUCAAUAUCAUGAUUUUAUCAGUUCCCAUCAGACAUCAGUCAAUCGCAUGUUCUGUGCUUCACAGUGAGGUUUACAGAAGUGUAAUUCUGCAUGGAAAAUAUAUUCAAGUAAUUUUUGGCAGUUAUGAACUUUUGGUUCAUGUUGAAGUAAAUUUGUAUGGCAUUCACCACAGUUUUCUGACACGAUCGUCGUUACUAUAAUCAGGCCUAAAGCACAGAAAUACAUGAACUUCCGUAAUAUGAAAAUGUUUGGAAGGUUUACCCCUUGGUAUCGAACAACUCCUGCAGAGAGUUCAAUAAGAUCUCAUGACAUAGCAAGUUCAAAUAGUUCAUAAGAAGUUUGCUAAGUACUAGGAAACUCUCAGCCUUGUGGCUAUGGGAUUUGCAUAAGUUACCCUUGCUAACCAUUCUCUCUUUAAAAAACUAUGACUUGACUGUAAGCUUACGGAGACAUCUGAUAAAUAGAAGAUUAGCACCCCCCUGCGCACCAGGAAUAAAUCAAUGGAGAAUUGUCCGUUUCUUUUAGCUUACCAGUUUGUUCCUUUUUCAUCUGAAUGCUUUUAUAUAUCAGUUCCAUGUGAUAUACAAGUAGUUUUCAUUGGUUCUAGAGCUGAAAUGGUAGGAGAUGUAUGGCUGUUCUUUUAGAAAUUACUUUUCUCUAUGAUCUUUAUGAUGCCUCUGUGUUGAUAUUGUGUCCCCUAUAGGCCUAUACUCACAUCUAUCUAAUAAUUUUCCAAGGCCGGACACAUAGCCCCAGCUUUCACGAGAAGACUGUUUCCAUUUAAAUUUGUUUCAUGUGCAUUUGCUGCUUAAGACUCUAACUUCUAUUGACUGCAGUUGUACUGACAGGCUUAUUGAAGAGAACAAGUCUAGGAGCAAGAAAGAAAUGCCUGACUCCUGCACAAGGAUGAUACGAACAACUUGGGGAGCGGUCCAAAAAUUUAUCCGUAGUUGUCUCUCUUUCUUUCUGUCGUCUUUACCAGGGUUUCUACUCUCCUAGAGCACCAUAAUGCCUCGGACCAAUGCAAGAAAGGUAUUAAUAAAAGUAUUAGAGCAUCCACAAUGGUUGUACAUUUGAGAUUUUCCGCUGAAUAGGAACUUGAAUUAAAUGGCGGAUAAAAAGAUUAAUCUUCAUCACUGGAAUCAAUCUACUUCAAUGGCCGAGUUUGUCCCAUCUUUGUUGAAACUACUGAUGUCGGAAGUCGUGCUUUUAAAUUUCAUCAUCCAACAACUGAUCUCCAACUACAGGAUUUCCGAAAACUGGAUAAUUCACAGCAUUGGUAAAAUUUAUACCAAAUAAAGUGGAUGUGUUAUCACGGUUUACAUCAUCACUUAUCGGACCCAAAUGAAGUAAGAACAUAUAAAGUCAACUAAUGUUCCAUGCCAAAGACAUGAUACUAGGGCAAGAACAACUACAUGGAGCCAAAUAAAGUAAGAACAUAUAAAGUCACACCUAUUUUAUAAAGUAAGAUUAACUAAAUGGUAACCUGCAAGACUCUCAUUCUCAUGGUAUGUCGUUGUAGGAUGAAUGGAUGAUAUUAGUAACCAUGUUUUAUUAUGUGUUGAUGUUAGAGGUUGUUAAUGACAGUGAUCACCACAUGUUGCUUCAAAAUCUAUUUUUUUCAAUAAAAAAGCUUAUAUUUGGAGUUUUGUGAGCUCUUUAGAGGAAUUUCCUUCUAAAAAUGAACUUGUUGCGGAUGGCACACAAUGACACAAUAGUGUAGCUGUGUAAGGGUAUGGUAUGUGUAAGUAUUAACUAAUUAUGAGUAAGAAGCCAAAUCGGCCCAUAAGGCUUAGUCAUCUAUAGUUGCAAUAAGCAUUUUCAGUUGCUGGUAGACUUUAUAAUUAACUCAUGCUUGUUAUUAUUAGACCAUAAAAUUCCCGGAGUAUUCUAUGACUAUGUCACCAUAAAACUCUGAAGUCCAAUACAUGCUUCUUUAUAAACUUUGGCAGUUUGGCUUUUAACAUUGUUUUUUUUCCUUUUUGGAGACACCUGAUAGAAUUGGAACAGUAAAGUGAAGUUUAGCACGGCCCCUGCACAAGAAUAACACGCACAAAUCGAGAAAUAGUCCAAGUUUUGUUAGCAUAUUCUCUCCGACCAACAAGAAAAUGUGGGAUGAUUUGUUUAAGGAAAGCUUAAGAUGCCUUCGUUCAAAAACUGCCCCUUACUGCUCCUUUUUUUUAAGAAUUGAAGAGGGGCCGCGCGAACGCAGGCCCCCACUAUCACAAAUUAUGACGUACACUCUUCCACUUGGGAAGAUGUUAGGCAGGCACCCCUCCUAAGUGCGAUGGAGGUCACCUACUUAGGCCAUGAGCCUUAAUGAUCGCUCAUCGACCCCGUCCAGGUUCAUUAAAGGAAUCCAUCCCCAUCAAAUCAUCAAACUCAUCUCCAGUCAAGAAUUAAGAGGCAUGAUGCGUCCCCAUUGAUCACAUCCCCACUAAAAAACAACAAGUGGUAAAUUUCGAAGAACAAGGAAUGUAUCGCUGGGAACCAUACUACUUACCCUCUUAAUAGAAGUUUAAGCGACGGCGAAUCUGGAGGAUGUGGGAGUUCAAACAGUCAUUAUAGAGUACACGAACUGGUGUUAUUUCUGGGUAUGAUUGGUUUUGAUAAUUCAAGUAUAGUUUCUUUCAUAAUAGCCCUCUUUUUAAUUGAAAGUUCUGUUUUUUAGUUGUAAUUGCUGGCGUGCGAAUUGGACUGAUGGUUUGUUUGAAUUAGGGUGUUCUCGGUCAAUUGGGUGUAAAAUUCAAGUGUAGUUUCAUCAAAAAAUAGGCCCCCUUUUUAUUGAAGUUUUGUUUUUUAGUUGUAAUUGCUUCAAAUUUACUUGAUGGGCUGUUCGAGUUACGGUAUUCUUGAUUGCUUGAUUAAUUGGGUGUAUAAUUCAAGUGCAGUUUCUUUCAUGCUAUUGUAAAUUCAAUGCUAGAAUGUAGACAACUAGACAAUGAUCUGUUUUUUAAGGUUAGAUUGUUGCUGCUAUUCCUUGAUAGACCCAUUAUGUUUAGAGGCAAAAAUGUUUGGAUACAGAUAUGAUCCCACCGAUAAUCUGGACACAAAAAAAUCAUCCCAAGAACUACGCUUCAAACUUUUUCUCAUGAAUUUCUAAUAUUAUAUACAUCCCGUGCUAAUGCAAGGGGCACAUUUUGUACAAAUACUUUCGAGUACUAGCAAGGAUAUUAGAUUUUCUGCAUAACACCUUUUGUUUGGUAUGUAUUUGUACUUUAAAUGGUCUAUGGUGAUAUUAGGAUUUGCUGAAAAAUUCAUGUUUCUUCUCAAUAUCUGUUCAUAGUAUAUGAUGAUGAAUUUAACCUUUAUUUUUAUUUCGAGUACUAUGUAUCUGCAUAACACCUUUUAUUUGGUAUGUAUUUUUUUUGGUUUGCUAGCUAUUUUAAUUUGUGUGAAAUAUCAAACUUUUAUGAUAUAAUAUAUGUAUAAAAGAAAAUAUUGUUUGCACAUAUAUGUUAUUAAGUAGGGUAUAAUUAAUUAGCAUAAGUUUACCGCAUGAUCAUUGCUAAUUCACGUUUUUAAAUAGUGAAAUUGUUAAGCUAUAACCAGUUUUUCCAAUUAGCAUUCUCCUAACAGAUGCAAUUUCUAACCUCUAAUUUUUGAAGUCAUUGGAGAUUUGGAGUAUCAUAGAGAUUAUUGGAACUUUGUUUCUUUGUUUUUCUAUAUACUGCCUACAAAGUAUUUAAUAUUGCAGUUUUUUUUUUUUUAUCGAUAGCCAGUUGUUGGGACGAUAGUUAAAGCAACUAGCGAAUUUGU